rnacentral:rRNA from 1 species
GACGAACGCUGGCGGCGUGCCUAAUACAUGCAAGUCGAACGCAGUGGGGCCGGGUGAGUAACACGUGGGUAACCUCCCCUCAGAGGGGAGAACACUUGGAAACAGGUGCUAAACCGAUACUGAUGGAUGGACCCGCGGGGCAUUAGCUAGUUGGUGAGGUAACGGCGCACCAAGGCAACGAUCCAUAGCUGGCCUGAGAGGUUGAUCGGCCACACUGGAACUGAGACACGGCCCAGACUCCUACGGGAGGCAGCAGUAGGGAAUCUUCGGCAAUGGACGAAAGUCUGACCGAGCAAUGCCGCGUGAGUGAAGAAGGUUUUCGGAUCGUAAAACUCUGUUGUUAGAGAAGCGGUAUCUAACCAGAAAGCCACGGCUAACUACGUGCCAGCAGCCGCGGUAAUAC